AUCAAGUAAAUGAGAAGAUUUCUGCAAAAAGGAAAACUAAUGACAAACAUAUUCAAGAAAUAAAGCACAAUAAAAGAAAGAGAGAAAUGUAAAGUUUAGUUUCAAACAGUUCUGAUCCAUAUAAUUUUUCAAUUUUCAACUUCCCCCCUCAUUUACCAAGCAAGAGGCUUGCAUAAGGAUCAUUCAAUGUGAUUGCAAAUUAAGAAAAUAUAAAAAGAA
rnacentral:misc_RNA from 1 species